GCACCCGUAGCUCAGCAGGAUAGAGCACCGGUUUCCUAAACCGGCGGUCGGUGGUUCGAAUCCACCCGGGUGCG
rnacentral:tRNA from 1 species